AGAGUUUGAUCCUGGCUCAGGAUGAACGCUGGCGGCGUGGAUAAGGCAUGCAAGUCGAACGGACUUUAUAUUUUCCGGAGAUGAGAUUACAUCAAUUCAAAGGUCGUUUAAAGUUAGUGGCGAACGAGGUAGUAACACAUAGGAACUUCCCCCUAAGUCGUGAACAACUUACCGAAAGGUGAGCUAAUACACGAUGGUCCCUCCGGGGUAAAGAUUUUUCGCUUAGGGAAAGGCCUGUGAAGUAUCAGCUAGUUGGCGGUGUAAUGGACCACCAAGGCUAUGACGCUUAGGGGAGCUGAGAGGCUGACCCCCACCGAUGGGACUGAGACACGGCCCAUACACCUACGGGUGGCUGCAGUCGAGAAUCUUCCACAAUGGACGAAAGUCUGACGGAGCGACGCCGCGUGAUUGAUGAAGCACUUCGGUGCGUAAAGAUCUUUUAUGAGGGAAGAAGUUUAUUGACGGUACCUCAUGAAUAAGGGGCUCCUAAUCUCGCGCCAGCAGGAGCGGUAAUACGAGAGCCCCGAGCGUUAUCCGGAAUUAUUGGGCGUAAAGAGUGCGUAGGUGGUUGUGUUAGUCGUUUGUCAAAUCCUCGGGCUUAACUCGAGAACCGCGAACGAAACGGCACAGCUAGAGAAUGUGGGGGGUAUAGGGAACUCAUGGUGUAGGGGUAAAAUCCGUUGAUAUCAUGGGGAACACCAAAAGCGAAGGCACUAUACUAACACAUAUCUGACACUCAAGCACGAAAGCGUGGGUAGCGAAUGGGAUUAGAUACCCCAGUAGUCCACGCCCUAAACGAUGAUCUCUAGUCUUUCGGAGUAUCGACCCUCUGAGAGACGUAGCUAACGCGUUAAGAGAUCCGCCUGGGAAGUACGGCCGCAAGGCUAAAACUCAAAGGAAUAGACGGGGACUUGCACAAGUAGUGGAUUAUGUGGUUUAAUUCGACGAUAAACGAAGAACCUUACCAAGGUUAGAAAUCAACGUGAAAGCUC
rnacentral:rRNA from 1 species